UCCCACGUCAGCCGUGCCCUGAACCUCUGACUUGUCACCAGCAGUGCUCCAGACCGCUUCUAAGAUCUUCGAGCGGUCCUGACCACUAAUGUCCCUGCUCACCCUCGUACCACACACUGCACCAAGUCUGCCUUUAUCAAGCUCUCACAUCCGUUAAAUCUAGGGCUCAUUUACUAGCAUCACCUCCCUUUGCCAUGUCUUCAUUAUUCUUCUCACCCAGCCUAAAUGGCAUUAUCAGUAAUUGAAUCAUUUCCUCCUCAGUACCCUCCGUCCGCUUCAGUGCCCCUUCCUGCGUUAAAAUGACGCGGCGAACUCAGCCCUGCUGGGACCUAGACCCCUCUGUCUGAGCCUGAUGAACUGAACACUGCUGGAGAGAAGUCACACAGCCGGGCCGACUGGCCUGAUUUCAACACUACUGCCGAUAGACCUGGCGUGGGCACUGGGCGCCGUGGUGUACCCCAACUCCCUGCAGAAGCACCUGCUGCCAGCAGACGCCAAGCUCUCCCUGUCACUGCUGCAGCCCUUGGCUCCAACAGCUGAAGUCAAGGAGAUGAAAACCACGCCAAGCUCCCGCAUAGCCCCUGGGAAGAUAACAUCACAGAGGAGUUUGUAGAAAUCUGACUGAACAUCUUGUUCUCCUAUGUGAAGUGGACGUUCACGGAUAUUUAUCACGAU